UGCGUAGGUGGCCUUUUAAGUUGGAUGUGAAAUACCCGGGCUUAACCUGGGGGGUGCAUCUAAUACUGGAAGGCUAGAGUGCAGGAGAGGAAAGCGGAAUUCCUAGUGUAGCGGUGAAAUGCGUAGAUAUUAGGACGGAACACCAGUGGCGAAGGCGGCUUUCUGGACUGUAACUGACACUGAGGCACGAAAGCGUGGGGAGCAAACA
rnacentral:rRNA from 1 species